rnacentral:rRNA from 1 species
AACGAACGCUGGCGGCAUGCCUAACACAUGCAAGUCGAACGAGACCUUCGGGUCUAGUGGCGCACGGGUGCGUAACGCGUGGGAACCUGCCCUUAGGUUCGGAAUAACUCCCCGAAAGGGGUGCUAAUACCGGAUAAUGUCUUCGGACCAAAGAUUUAUCGCCUUUGGAUGGGCCCGCGUUGGAUUAGCUAGUUGGUAGGGUAAAAGCCUACCAAGGCGACGAUCCAUAGCUGGGCUGAGAGGAUGAUCAGCCACACUGGGACUGAGACACGGCCCAGACUCCUACAGGAGGCAGCAGUGGGGAAUAUUGGACAAUGGGCGGAAGCCUGAUCCAGCAAUGCCGCGUGAGUGAUGAAGGCCUUAGGGUUGUAAAGCUCUUUUACCCGGGAUGAUAAUGACAGUACCGGGAGAAUAAGCUCCGGCUAACUCCGUG